rnacentral:rRNA from 1 species
UACGUAGGGGGCAAGCGUUGUCCGGAUUUAUUGGGCGUAAAGAGCGUGUAGGCGGCUUGGUAGGUCCGCUGUGAAAACUCGAGGCUCAACUUCGAGCUGUCGGUGGAAACUUUCUGGCUAGAGUCCGGAAGAGGAGAAUGGAAUUCCUGGUGUAGCGGUGAAAUGCGCAGAUAUCAGGAAGAACACCCGUGGCGAAGGCGGUUCUCUGGGACGGUACUGACGCUGAGACGCGAAAGCGUGGGGAGCGAACAGG